UACGAAGGGUGCAAGCGUUACUCGGAAUUACUGGGCGUAAAGCGUGCGUAGGUGGUUUGUUAAGUCUGUUGUGAAAGCCCCGGGCUCAACCUGGGAAUGGCAAUGGAUACUGGCAGGCUAGAGUGCCGGAGAGGGUGGCGGAAUUCCCAAGUAGAGGUGAAAUUCGUAGAUAUGGGGAAGGAACACCCGGUGGCGAAGGCGGGCCACCU
rnacentral:rRNA from 1 species